rnacentral:rRNA from 1 species
UACGGAGGGUGCAAGCGUUGCUCGGAAUUAUUGGGCGUAAAGGGUAGGUAGGUGGUCUCAUUUGUCUGGGGUGAAAGCCUUGAGCUUAACUCAAGAAGUGCCCCAGAAACGGUGAGACUGGAGUCCUGGAGAGGGUCGUGGAAUUCCCGGUGUAGCGGUGAAAUGCGUAGAUAUCAGGAGGAACACCGGUGGCGAAGGCGGGUCUCUGGGCCGAUACUGACGCUGAGGAGCGAAAGCGUGGGGAGCGAACAGG